GGGCAGGAAUCAUAUAGCCUACUAACGCCUUUGAUAGGAAUCGGUGUUGUACCGGCUUGUGUGAGCGCCUCCCUUAAACUCACGCUUACAACACACAAAACACAAGUUUGGACAAUAUUUACGAUCUACGACUCUCACCGCUGACCGUAUGGAGAUGUGAUUCAUUCCCCCAUCCAGUCUGACCGAUCUGUUGUUUUAAGUCUGCUGUGAAGACGGAGCGUAAGCGAAUUUUCAACGGCAUGCCGAGGAAUUAAGCAGCCGGGUGAUCGGAGCGUCGAGGGCUGGAUCGCUCAGAAAUCCAAUCCGCGGAUUGAGGCCUAAAUUCCCGAAGCGGAUACAUGGUUGUGUUUAUCAGUUGACAUGAGAAGAGAAGAUACUAAACCGAGUCGGGACGGUUUUGCUGCCGAUCGUUUGAGACAGGCCCUCCUCCAGCCCUGAAUCCAGCAUGACGGAGGUCCAGGCCACAGUGGAGUUCUCUGUGGAGCUCCACAAGUUCUAUAAUGUGGAUCUCUUCCAAA